rnacentral:rRNA from 1 species
UACAGAGGGGGCAAGCGUUGUUCGGAAUUACUGGGCGUAAAGGGCGCGUAGGCGGCCCGCUAAGUCGAACGUGAAAUCCCCGAGCUCAACUCGGGAACUGCGUCCGAUACUGGCGGGCUUGAAUCCGGGAGAGGGAUGCGGAAUUCCAGGUGUAGCGGUGGAAAUGCGUAGAUAUCUGGAGGAACACCGGUGGCGAAGGCGGCAUCCUGGACCGGCAUUGACGCUGAGGCGCGAAAGCUAGGGGAGCAAACGGG